UGGUACUACAGAGGCAUGAAGGUUGUCGCUGACCUUUCUGAAAGGUCGUGCACGCCGGAGUGCUCUCACACACAAUCCACCUCACCACUUGUGCUUCACCGCGCGGUGUCGCUCCCUCUUGGCUUGCUUCGAGAGGGGGAGGCUUGCGUCACCCACACAUACACACACACAAUAUACAGUCUGGUAGUUUAGAAUGUCAAUCAAUA
rnacentral:misc_RNA from 1 species